rnacentral:pre_miRNA from 1 species
CUUGUACUCUCUCCGUCCGAAAAUACUUGUCAUCAAAAUGGAUAGAAAGAGAUGUAUCUAGAAUUAAAAUACGUCUAGAUACAUCCCCUUUUAUUCAUUUUGACGACAAGUUUUUCCGGACGGAGGGAGUACUAU